GUUGUGCUGGGCGAUGUCAUUGUUGCUGCUCUUACUCAGUAGCGACGACUCUUGUUGAGGAAGAAGCUCGGUGAAAGCAGCGGCUUCUACUGAUGGUUUGGUGGUGGGUCCAGCCACCAGAGGCCGAACAGUGGUGGUGAUUCAGUUUAGGUUGCGAGGGAGGUGGUUUGCUCUAGGCUUAGGCCUGGCUCAGAGUGGAUCUAUUUUAUCUUUUCUAGUCGAAAUUAGUUGGUAAGGAGAAUGAGUUUGGGUUUUAGGCUCUAGGCCCAUUGGCUAAAUUUAUUUUUCUUGCUUCUUUGUUUGAGGCAUCCCUUGAUUUUUUUGAUGAUAUAUGUACAGUAGGUUCAAUCUAGUGGCUAGUAUUGAUGUACACCAAUAGCGGUCUUAGAUAAAUGUACUAUUUUUAUUGGUUGGGUCAUGACGUCAUUCACUUUGAAUAA
rnacentral:lncRNA from 1 species